CAGCACCUCAAGUGGUCAGGAUGAUUAUUGGGCCUAAAGCAUCCGUAGCCGGCGCUGUAAGUUUUCGGUUAGAUCUGUACGCUCAACGUACAGGCUGCCGGGAAUACUGCAGCGCUAGGGAGUGGGAGAGGUAGACGGUACUCGGUAGGAAGGGGUAAAAUCCUUUGAUCUAUUGAUGACCACCUGUGGCGAAGGCGGUCUACCAGAACACGUCCGACGGUGAGGGAUGAAAGCUGGGGGAGCAAACCGGAUUAGAUACCCGAGUAGUCC
rnacentral:rRNA from 1 species